UACGUAGGGGGCAAGCGUUGUCCGGAUUCAUUGGGCGUAAAGAGCGUGUAGGCGGCCAGGUAGGUCGGUUGUGAAAACUGGAGGCUCAACCUCGAGCUGUCGGUGGAAACUGUCUGGCUAGAGUCCGGAAGAGGAGAGUGGAAUUCCUGGUGUAGCGGUGAAAUGCGCAGAUAUCAGGAAGAACACCUAUGGCGAAGGCAGCUCUCUGGGACGGUACUGACGCUGAGACGCGAAAGCGUGGGGAGCGAACAGG
rnacentral:rRNA from 1 species